CCCUUAGAUGUCCGGGGCCGCACGCGCGCUACACUGAAGGAAUCAGCGUGGCUUUCUCCCUGACCCGAAAGGGUUGGGAAACCCGUUGAAUCUCCUUCGUGAUAGGGAUUGGGGCUUGAAAUUGUUCCCCAUGAACGAGGAAUUCCCAGUAAGCGCGAGUCAUAAGCUCGCGUUGAUUACGUCCCUGCCCUUUGUACACACCGCCCGUCGCUACUACCGAUUGAACGGUUUAGUGAGGGCCUCGGAUUGGUCUCGGCCCGCUCUUUACCGGGCGGCGCCGUUGGUCGAGAAGACGCUCGAACUUGAUCGUUUAGAGGAAGUAACAGUCGUAACA
rnacentral:rRNA from 1 species